GUUCAGGUGAAGAGGCUCAUGUCCGAGACAUGAUGGACAUCUAUUUUCCUGGAAGGUAUUUGAGUGUUCAAGGGCUCCCGAGUGGCGCAGCGGUCUUAGGCACUGCAUCUCCGUGCAAGAGGUGUCACUACAGUCCCUGUUUCCAAUCCAGGCUGUAUCACAUCCAGCCGUGAUUGGGAGUCCCAUAGGGCGGCGCACAGCAUCGUCCUGGUUAGGUUCUGGCCGGGGUAGGCCGUCAUUGUUGAAUUUCUCUUCAGGAGCUGGUGAAAGGGAAAACAUUGGCAUGGAUCAUCUUUCAUACAUACAGUAUAAUCAUGUUUUUUAAUUUAUUAUUGUAAAAGGAUAUUGCUUUGUCUCUACUGAUCUCCGAUAGCUUUCCCAUGCUGUGGUGGGAGAGAGUAAGUAAACCUUGAGAGAGAGAG
rnacentral:lncRNA from 1 species